UUCGCGUCUCUUUGUUUGCGAGAGGAACAUGGCGGAUCGGCUUACGCAGCUGCAGGACGCCGUGAACUCGCUUGCAGAUCAGUUUUGUAAUGCCAUUGGAGUGUUGCAGCAGUGUGGUCCUCCUGCCUCUUUUAGUAAUAUUCAGACAGCCAUUAACAAAGAUCAGCCAGCUAAUCCUACAGAAGAAUAUGCCCAGCUUUUUGCAGCAUUGAUUGCACGAACAGCAAAAGACAUUGAUGUUUUGAUAGAUUCCUUACCCAGUGAAGAAUCUACAGCUGCUUUACAGGCUGCAAGCUUGUAUAAGCUGGAAGAAGAAAAUCACGAAGCUGCCACAUGUCUGGAGGAUGUUGUUUAUCGAGGGGACAUGCUUCUGGAAAAGAUACAGAGCGCACUUGCUGAUAUUGCACAGUCCCAGCUGAAGACAAGAAGUGGUACCCAUAGCCAGUCUCUUCCGGACUCAUAGCACCAGUGUACAUAUACCGUGCGUGAGGCUGAGAAAAGAGCUGCUUCAAUGCCAUUAAGAAUUCUGCAUCAGAUUUAGAUGAAAUGGCUUACUGCAAAGAACCUCCUUUCCCAAGAUGACUAAGGUAAGAUGUGUAGAUGACUCCUUUGACUACCUAUGACAAAGCCAGACCUAGACCCUCCAGAUUCCUGUUUUUUAUCUCAUAAAUAAUUAGUUGAACUGGUUGUUCCCAAAGACCAGUCUGGGCAAAAUGCCCUCUAAGUUGACCUGAUCAAACUUCAGGCUGCUGCGCGACAGGCUCCUGAACUUGAAUCCACCCUCAGCCUGAGCCAGCGCUGGAAUGUGGAAUAGUCUUUCCUCAACAACACCUCCUGAAAACUGACCACAAAAAAAGACAUUCCCUGAUCAGCUGUCCCAUUCUGUCAUCUGCUCCCUGCACUCCCUCAUACCCAGAGCUUUCUAGCCUUGUUUACUCGUUCCUGUAAAGGCAUCUGAUCUGUCUUUGAGCUGCUUGCAGCUCUUACGGUCAGAGCAUCCUCUCUCUUGCUGUAGCCUCCCUAUAGUUCCUGUCGUAUUU